CCUUCGGGGUACUCGAGCGGCGAACGGGUGAGUAACACGUGAGCAACCUGCCCCAGGCUUUGGGAUAACCCCGGGAAACCGGGGCUAAUACCGGAUAUGACCUUGCACCGCAGGUGUUUGGUGGAAAGUUUUUCGGCUUGGGAUGGGCUCGCGGCCUAUCAGCUUGUUGGUGGGGUGAUGGCCUACCAAGGCGACGACGGGUAGCCGGCCUGAGAGGGCGACCGGCCACACUGGGACUGAGACACGGCCCAGACUCCUACGGGAGGCAGCAGUGGGGAAUAUUGCACAAUGGGCGGAAGCCUGAUGCAGCGACGCCGCGUGAGGGAUGACGGCCUUCGGGUUGUAAACCUCUUUCAGCAGGGACGAAGCGUAAGUGACGGUACCUGCAGAAGAAGCGCCGGCCAACUACGUGCCAGCAGCCGCGGUAAGACGUAGGGCGCGAGCGUUGUCCGGAUUUAUUGGGCGUAAAGAGCUCGUAGGCGGCUUGUCGCGUCGACCGUGAAAACC
rnacentral:rRNA from 1 species